rnacentral:rRNA from 1 species
AUACGGAGGGUGCAAGCGUUAAUCGGAAUUACUGGGCGUAAAGCGUACGUAGGCGGUUCGUUAAGUUAGAUGUGAAAGCCCCGGGCUUAACCUGGGAACUGCAUUUAAAACUGGCGGACUAGAGUUGAGUAGAGGGGAGUGGAAUUUCAGGUGUAGCGGUGAAAUGCGUAGAGAUCUGAAGGAACACCAGUGGCGAAGGCGACUCCCUGGACUCGAACUGACGCUGAGGUACGAAAGCGUGGGUAGCAAACGGGAUUAGAAACCCUAGUAGUCC